UACAGAGGUCCCAAGCGUUGUUCGGAUUCACUGGGCGUAAAGGGUGCGCAGGUGGCUUGGCAAGUUUGAUGUGAAAGCUCAGAGCUUAACUCUGAAAUGGCAUUGAAUACUGCCGGGCUGGAGGUUUGGAGGGGGGACUGGAAUUCUCGGUGUAGCAGUGAAAUGCGUAGAUAUCGAGAGGAACACCAGUGGCGAAGGCGAGUCCCUGGACAACACCUGACACUGAGGCACGAAAGCUAGGGGAGCAAACAGGAUUAGAAACCCCCGUAGUCC
rnacentral:rRNA from 1 species